UGUGUGUUAGCAGAUUAGAGAUCGCACAGAUUGUCGUAGUGCCACGCUGUCAAAGCUUGUUCAUGGUGGUGCAGAGAAGGACCCCACAGAUUGAUUUAGCAUGCCAUGUGAUUGUGAGAGCAGAGUGCUUGUGUUCGUAUUGGAAAGGGAAAUUAUUUAUUUCCCAUUCGGCCAUAUCCAAUCCCCCCUGGCGAACCGCCGCUUGCGGAGUGUUCUCUGCGCAUCUUCUCUAGCGAGGGAAACAAGCUACUGCGGCUUCAAUUACUCAUGUAGCAUGCAUUUUGUGCUGCCAAUGCUCAAGAUUACCAUCUUUGUGAAGCUCGAGCCCAGAAGUGGAAGGCAAAUGCCGGCGAUGGUGUAGGUGCUGCAUAUGAUGCUCACCUUUGAGGAGAGGGUCUUUGAUUGGUCGUUGCAGAUAUGGAUACUAGCAGCGAGCUGAGGUUAGUUAAGAACAUGUUGAUAAUCAAUAUGGAUGUGAAAGAUAACCAUGAAGAAGCCAGUGUUGGGUGAAGCUUGUUUUAGAUUUGUGUCAGAAGGUUCAGGUUCAGAAAAAUUACGUGGCUAUAUGGCUGUAGUGGAGGCGUGCCAUUUUCAUCUCUCAAACAAUGUCGAUAGAGUGCAUGUAGGCAAUUUGUGUGGGGAACAAUUACAAGCACAUUUGGAGAGUAGAUGUGAUGCAAUCUAGAAACUCUCAAAACAAGGCUUCAGAGUCUAGGCUAUAACGACAUGGGUUUAGUGUCAGCACAUACCAGAAAAAAAUGUGUGUAACUGUUCCCUAGCUGGAGGAAGGGGCACCAAGUGGUGCCAUGUAUCUUGCACCACUUUCUUCUCAUGUGAAGAGGUCUGUUUCGAAGCUAUAUUUGUAGUUUUAUCAAUGUAUCCUUGGAAAUGGCAUGCCUUUAUUGUCCGGUUAGUACCUGUUUGUGCUUUUCAUCUUAAUGCGGUGUUAGCUAGCUCUAUCUGAGCCUUCUUUUAGGUACUUCCUGCUUGGUGUUAAACAAAUAAAUAGGUGUAUGUAGUCAAGGAUAUUCUCUGGUUUUACUCUAAAUAUUUUGCAUGUCCUGUCCUAGAACGUGGUCUUCCUUUAGAUUUUAUCUCCAUUUGCUUGGUUAGUUCUUCCAUUAUAACAUAAUUUUAGCUGUCGAUUAGACUUCUUUGUAGUUAUCCCCAUUUGCUUAGGUAGUUCUUCCAUUAUAUAUAUGAUUCCUUGCUCUUGCUCUAUGCACAUUUCCAUUUUCGACUCACCAUACAUUUUUUUUCAGAAUUGUUGGGAGUGCUGGUCAGAAUAAGACUAUAAUUUUUUUCUUAUCUAAGCUGAAGAUGAUCAGAUAUUUUGGGAGUAAUGGCCAGAAUCAGAGUAUUAUUUUGCGUACUUUUUUCAUUUUAGGCUAGCACACAAAAAUUAAGAAGUAUUACUAAGUUUGUUAGCAGCAUCGUCUUCUCGGACUGAUGUAUUUUGAAUAAUUGCGAGUAGUUCGAACAGUUAUAUUAAACUGUUGUUUUAA